GACGGGGGGGGCAAGUGUUCUUCGGAAUUACUGGGCGUAAAGGGCGCGUAGGCGGUACUUCAAGUCAGGCGUGAAAGCCCCGGGCUCAACCUGGGAACCGCGCUUGAGACUGGAGAACUAGAGUUCGGGAGAGGAUGGUGGAAUUCCCAGUGUAGAGGUGAAAUUCGUAGAUAUUGGGAAGAACACCGAUGGCGAAGGCAGCCAUCUGGACCGACACUGACGCUGAGGCGCGAAAGCGUGGGGAGCAAACAGG
rnacentral:rRNA from 1 species